GAUGAACGCUGGCGGCGUGCCUAAUACAUGCAAGUCGAGCGAACAGACGAGGAGCUUGCUCCUCUGACGUUAGCGGCGGACGGGUGAGUAACACGUGGAUAACCUACCUAUAAGACUGGGAUAACUUCGGGAAACCGGAGCUAAUACCGGAUAAUAUAUUGAACCGCAUGGUUCAAUAGUGAAAGACGGUCUUGCUGUCACUUAUAGAUGGAUCCGCGCCGCAUUAGCUAGUUGGUAAGGUAACGGCUUACCAAGGCAACGAUGCGUAGCCGACCUGAGAGGGUGAUCGGCCACACUGGAACGGAGACACGGUCCAGACUCCUACGGGAGGCAGCAGUAGGGAAUCUUCCGCAAUGGGCGAAAGCCUGACGGAGCAACGCCGCGUGAGUGAUGAAGGUCUUCGGAUCGUAAAACUCUGUUAUUAGGGAAGAACAAAUGUGUAAGUAACUAUGCACGUCUUGACGGUACCUAAUCAGAAAGCCACGGCUAACUACGUG
rnacentral:rRNA from 1 species